rnacentral:ncRNA from 14 species
UUGUGGCCGAGUGGUUAAGGCGAUGGAUUGCUAAGACAAUCAUGUAGCAACUAUCCAUUGCACUUUGUGCGCGUGGGUUCCAAUCCUAUCAUU